AUGCGCGCACACACGCACGCACACACGCACACACGCACGCACACACCCAACACGUGCGCCCACAACCCCCACAUUCAGGCAUCCAUUCAUUUGUUAAGUUCAUCUUUCAUUUUCAGUAUUAAGUUUGUGUGUUUGUUUGUGUUCUUCAGUCUGUUUUGUCGACCUCUGUGUUUGACUUUGUUUUACGUUGUCUUUCUGGUCAGCCUUCAGGUUAAGAGAGAUACAGAAAGAACGAUAGAAAGGCAGAUAGAGAUGGAGUGAUAUAAGAGAUUGAAGAGAGAGAGAGAGAGAGAGAGAGAGAGAGAGAGAGAGAGAGAGUGAUCAGAAAUUGCAUCCAAAGCAGAGGUAGAAGCAGUUAACGUUUUUAUUUACAAAAGUAACCAAUACAUUUUAACAAUGUCAUGUUAAAGUUAUAAUACAGGCUACAACACUGACAUUAUUGUGAAAAUCAAUUGAAUAUUUAUUGCAGGGUCAUUUUUCCUAUUGUUCUUUAUCACUAUUGCAAUUGGCCGUCGAAUCAGACCUCCCACUACAGAAGGCAACAUUCUAUGAAUUGUACGAUAAAAAUCAUAAAAUAAGUUGAUAACGUGAUGUACAACAGGCUUUAUUAUUCAUUUAUAAUGAAAGCUAACUAGACAUUUGGCGGUAUUCUAUGAUACAAUGCCACAAGGGGACUCACAUUUCUCAUGAUGGAUUUCUCCUCUUCUUAAUUUCGAGUAAAACCAAUCAUUGAAAUUGUGAUUACAAUUAAAAAUUGUAUGUGUAAAUGUACUGUUAACAACCUUAAAUUAAACCCUUAGUGAUUAACUGUA